GAUGAAGAACGUAGCGAAAUGUGAUAAGUAGUGUGAAUUGCAGAAUUCAGUGAAUCAUCGAAUCUUUGAACGCACAUUGCGCCCCUUGGUAUCCCGAGGGGCAUGCCUGUUCGAGCGUCAUUUCACCACUCAAGCCUGGCUUGGUGUUGGGCGACGUCCUCUUUGGGGACGCGCCUCGAAACGCUCGGCGGCGUGGCACCGGCUUUAAGCGUAGCAGAAUCUUUCGCUUUGGAAGUCGGGGCCCCGUCUGCCGGAAGACCUGCUCGCAAGGUUGACCUCGGAUCAGGGAGGGAUACCCGCUGAACUUAAGCAUAUCAAUAAGCGGAGGA
rnacentral:misc_RNA from 1 species